GCCAGGUAUGGUGGCACAAACCUGUAAUCCCAGCCUCUCAGGAGGCUGAGGCAGGAGGAUUAUAAAUUCAAGCAAUUUUACAAGACCCUGUCUAAA
rnacentral:sRNA from 1 species